UUAAGUUCAGCGGGUAGUCCUACCUGAUUUGAGGUCAAAUGACAUAAAGAUGUUUGUCUUGCGACAGUUAGAAGCAGUCUUCACUCGAUUGUAACAAUGCUUUUUCUUAUCACAUUGUGUGUGAUCAAGCCAGAUCGCUAAUGCAUUUAGGACGAGUCAUGAUGAUCCACAACAACGCCCAAAUCAACUUCAAACAAAAA
rnacentral:misc_RNA from 1 species